ACGUAGGGCGCAAGCGUUAUCCGGAAUUAUUGGGCGUAAAGAGCUCGUAGGCGGUUUGUCGCGUCUGCCGUGAAAGUCCGGGGCUCAACUCCGGAAUUGCCUUUAAAACUGCAUCGCUAGAAUUGUGGAGAGGUAAGUGGAAUUCCGAGUGUAGAGGUGAAAUUCGUAGAUAUUCGGAAGAACACCAGUGGCGAAGGCGACUUACUGGACACAUAUUGACGCUGAGGUGCGAAAGCGUGGGGAGCAAACAGGA
rnacentral:rRNA from 1 species